GAAGCCAAAAUUUUAACAUGUAAAACUCCUAUCAAGAUUAUGAGCUUAGACCCACUAAAGGUUCAACAAGUUGAAUAGAAAUAAUACUUAAAAAAUAUCUUUAAAACACUGCAAAAUAUCAAGCAGCGAAAAAGAAAAUCACACACCUAGCACACAAUUUAUAAUCUCCUCCCUUUAUCCCCCACUCAAACCUCCCAAGUGUUGUGAAAAGCGAGCGCUUCCUCGCUUAAAGCGAGAAGCGAGAAGCGAGGCGAGCCAUCGAACGCUUCUGUUAGCUGAAGCGUAACAGGUUUACAAAAGCGCUUGCUUCCCAUUAAAAAAGCGAGAAGCGAUGAAGCGUAAGAAGCGCUCGCUUCUCUUUAUAACAGGGCUGCCAACCUAUUUAAUUAAAAAGGUUGUUCUUUUUUUAAAACAUCAUCGACCAGCAGCAACAGAGAAAGAAAUAGGCGACCUAGGGUUCAAGUUUUCUACACUUCUCAACUGCAAGAUCAUCAAGUUUGGUCCCAGUGAUAAAAAGAUUGAAAUGCUGCCCAUUUUUUAGUUUCGGUUAUACUUUGUCACUAGUUGAUGAAGAAGAAGAAGUUGAAGAAGAUGACGAGCAAUAUAAUAAUGAUAGUGGAAUACAAGAAUUUGACAAUCUUGUAAAAGAAUAGGAUGCUCAUUUUGUGCUUUAAUUGAUGCUAAUCUUUAGUUUUUACAUUGAAGUAUUGAACAUUUGCUUACAGUUACAGGUGUUGUCUAUGCAGUAUUUAUUUUAAUUUUU